CUUCGGCAUGGACGAAGUCUGACCGAGCAACGCCGCGUGAGUGAAGAAGGUUUUCGGAUCGUAAAACUCUGUUGUUAGAGAAGAACAAGGAUGAGAGUAACUGUUCAUCCCUUGACGGUAUCUAACCAGAAAGCCACGGCUAACUACGUGCCAGCAGCCGCGGUAAUACGUAGGUGGCAAGCGUUGUCCGGAUUUAUUGGGCGUAAAGCGAGCGCAGGCGGUUUCUUAAGUCUGAUGUGAAAGCCCCCGGCUCAACCGGGGAGGGUCAUUGGAAACUGGGAGACUUGAGUGCAGAAGAGGAGAGUGGAAUUCCAUGUGUAGCGGUGAAAUGCGUAGAUAUAUGGAGGAACACCAGUGGCGAAGGCGGCUCUCUGGUCUGUAACUGACGCUGAGGCUCGAAAGCGUGGGGAGCAAACAGGAUUAGAUACCCUGGUAGUCCACGCCGUAAACGAUGAGUGCUAAGUGUUGGAGGGUUUCCGCCCUUCAGUGCUGCAGCUAACGCAUUAAGCACUCCGCCUGGGGAGUACGACCGCAAGGUUGAAACUCAAAGGAAUUGACGGGGGCCCNCACAAGCGGUGGAGCAUGUGGUUUANUUCGAAGCAACGCGAANAACCCUUACCAGGUCUUGACAUCCUUUGACCACUCUAAAGAUAGAGCUUCCCCUUCGGGGGCAAAGUGAC
rnacentral:rRNA from 1 species